GAAACACAGUGGGAUCUCUUUGCCUAUUGAAGAUGAUCUUGGAGAUCUACCAUCAUUCUAUCAGCAAUCAGCCUCUUCUGCAGGAUGGGGACAGCACGUGUUCAGGAAAUGGAGGUGAUGAUCUGGGAGAGGUUGGUGUCUACCCAGUAGAAGACAUUGUUGUC